UACGAAGGGGGCUAGCGUUGCUCGGAAUCACUGGGCGUAAAGCGCACGUAGGCGGAUUGUUAAGUCAGGGGUGAAAUCCUGGAGCUCAACUCCAGAACUGCCUUUGAUACUGGCGAUCUCGAGUCCGGGAGAGGUGAGUGGAACUGCGAGUGUAGAGGUGAAUUCGUAGAUAUUCGCAAGAACACCAGUGGCGAAGGCGGACU
rnacentral:rRNA from 1 species